rnacentral:snoRNA from 1 species
AUGGAGGUGAUGAUCCUUUCCCCAGAUGAUCGACAAUGAUUAUACUGUGCGUUUGUUGUAUUUUCUCUCUCUAGAGAAUCUAUCAAGCCAGAAUUCUGAUCCAU